CAAUAAGUUUGCUCAAAUUUGUAUUAAUGCUAUGGAGUAAUUUGCUUAUUUCAAAUUAACGCCAGUCCUUUAAUAUCCAUAUUUAUUAUCGAUAGAGGGAAAGGGUCCUUUCAAUUUCAUUCGGCAAGUUUUACCACCAUAUUUAAGUUUAUUUCCCACUUGCUACAUAUCUACUUAUAUCGUCACUUAGAAAAUGUAAUGCUGACGUCCACAGUAACUAAUGUAAUAUAUUGUUUAGUAUAUAACCGUACUUAAUAUUUUGUUGUGGUCGAACUUUUAAAACCAAACAAGUCAGUGCUCUGUUAAGUCACACUUGGUCAUAAUGAAGCAAGCUUAAUCUAAUAAUCUUAGCUAAUUUCAACACCGAAUAAUAGCCAACAAUGUUAGUUUUAGAACGAUAGUGAAGAUGUGGAGUUGCCCUUGCGUUGCAGCCGGAAUUCUGCUCUUAUUCAGUCUGAAUCUGGUCUUUCCUUUCUGCUGCCAGAAACAAACUAUUGCCAUUUAAAAAACUGCCCAGCGGAUAAAAAACUGCCACAUAUUGGCUGCAAUAACAGUGGGCUCAGCAGCAGGUGAAUCUUUGGAAUCUUUCUUGUUUUCAUUUGCAGCAUGAAACAAGCGAAAUACAUUCAUACUAUUAAGUCACACUUGGUCAUAAUGAAGCAAGCUUAAUCUAAUAAUCUUAGCUAAUUUCAACACCGAAUAAUAGCCAACAAUGUUAGUUUUAGAACGAUAGUGAAGAUGUGGAGUUGUCCUUGCGUUGCAGUCGGAUUGCUGCUCAUAUUCAGUCUGAAUCUGGUCUUUCUGCUGCCGGAAACGAACUAUUGCCAUUUAAAAAACUGCCCAGUGGAUAAAAAACUGCCACAUAUUGGCUGCAAUAACAGUGGGGUAAGGGUUCAAGUAAAUCCAUUCCCCACUCCAAACGACGACUGUGUCGCCAGCCCUGUUGCCGCGCCCACUCUAACGCCUUUAAAGCUCCGUAAACUUCCACGCCCGCAGUUGUGAAUAUUACAUUUAAAUUUCUCAUUUGUCUUUUCAAUUUCUAUUGACAUGCUGAAAAUGUUAGACAUGCCUACAAGCCGCCCAUAACCACCACACAAACACAUGUACAUUUAUUUUCGAUUUAUUAAAAUUAAUUUUUUCUUGCCAA